rnacentral:rRNA from 1 species
UACGUAGGGUGGAAGCGUUAGGCGGAAUCACUGGGCUUAAAGCGUGUGUAGGCGGACUUGUAAGUACCUUGUGAAAUCCCACGGCUCAACCGUGGAACUGCUUGGUAUACUGCUUGUCUUGAGCCACUUAGGGGCUACCGGAACAAAUGGUGGAGCGGUGAAAUGCGUAGAUAUCAUUUGGAACGCCAAUGGUGAAAACAGGUAGCUGGGGAUGUGCUGACGCUGAGACACGAAAGCCAGGGGAGCGAUCGGG